GGGUAGCCAAAGGUCUUUUUUGGAGUAUGCGUGUGUCUUCGUUUCCCCGAAAACACGUUACCCGCGCUGAGAGGGGCGGCUGAGAGUCAAACCGGUUCAGCUCACUUCCUCAUUUCCUCACUUCACUCCUUUCUUUCUCCGCUUUUUAAACCUUUCACCUGAUUAACUUUUAUAAGGUUAAAGGUUAAAGUGUUUUAUAAACACUUUAACCUCAGUUUCUUCCCUUACAUUUAUACUUUUAUUACUUUAUACCGUAUGGACGCAUUUUAAUCCCGGAAUAGAUACGAUAAGGUCUCCAGUCUACUAUGGAUGAGGAGAGAGAAGAGGGGGGUCCUACCUCUAAGACCACUCUGUCUGGGGAACAUGGCCGCCGGAGCAAAGCUAAGAGCCCAGAGAAGCAGGAGAGAGCAGACCCCCCUGGACCCAGCUGUGUCUCCAUGAAGAGUAGCUGGUCUAUGGAUCCACCUAUUAGUUUUAAAGAUGGAAAUCAGUCUAUCAAGAAGAGAGUCCAGCAGGAGAGAGCAGACUCCCCUGGAUCCAGCUGUGUCUCCAUGAAGAGUGACCGCUCUAUGGAUGUACCAGCGGUGUUUAAAGAUGGACGCCCCUCCAGAGAGGAGAGCCCAGAGCAGCAGCAGAGAGCAGACUCCCCUGGACCCAGCUGUGUCUCCAUGAAGAGUGACCACUCUAUGGAUAUACCAUUGGUGUUUAAAGAUGGACGUCCCUCCAGAGAGGAGAGAGGGCUGAGGAGAACGCACACGCUUUCCUAGACAAGGAGCUGAAGAAGCUCUGGAGGGGAUCUCUUCUCAGAUUACCCACAAUUCUCAGAGGGUCAGAGGGAGGAGGAGGAGGAGGUGGAUGAUAAGAAGGAGGAGCAGAGGAGGCGCGCCAUAGAGGGAGUGGUGGACAUCACAAUCCUCUGCCUGAUGGAAAUGAACCAGGAGGAACUGGCCGACAAACUGCGGGGG
ensembl:lncRNA